UUUGAUCCGAUGAUUUCUGAAUGGGGGAACCCAAUCCUUUAGGAUUAUCCUUAACUGAAUACAUAGGUUAAGGAGGCGAACGAAGCGAACUGAAACAUCUAAGUAGCUUUAGGAAAACAAAUCAACCGAGAUUCCCUAAGUAGCGGCGAGCGAACGGGGACCAGCCCAGUGGUUUUAGGUUAAGAAGACGAAUGCUCUGGAAAGUGCAGCCAUAGUAGGUGAUAGCCCUGUAGUC
rnacentral:rRNA from 10 species